rnacentral:rRNA from 1 species
UACGUAGGGUGCGAGCGUUAAUCGGAAUUACUGGGCGUAAAGCGUGCGCAGGCGGUUCGCCAAGUCAGGUGUGAAAUCCCCGGGCUUAACCUGGGAAUUGCGCUUGAAACUAGCGGGCUUGAGUGUGGCAGAGGGGGGUGGAAUUCCGCGUGUAGCAGUGAAAUGCGUAGAUAUGCGGAGGAACACCGAUGGCGAAGGCAAUCCCCUGGGCCUGCACUGACGCUCAUGCACGAAAGCGUGGGGAGCAAACAGG